rnacentral:rRNA from 1 species
CACGUAGGGCGCAAGCGUUGUCCGGAUUAUUGGGCGUAAAGAGCUCGUAGGUGGUUUGCUGCGUCCGCUGUGAAACCCAAGGCUUAACCUUGGGCUUGCAGUGGAUACGGGCAGACUAGAGGUAGGUAGGGGAGAAUGGAAUUCCGGUGUAGCGGUGAAAUGCGCAGAUAUCGGGAAGAACACCAAAGGCGAAGCACUUGCUGGCCGAAACUGACACUGAUAGACGAAAGCUAGGGAGCAAAUGG